CAAGCUUGUUCAUGUGAGUCUAAAGUGAGCAGUGCCAUAUGACAAAAGAAUUUUCCCUCCACCCCUACCCAGAACGCUCCUAAAACCUGUUUCUUUGUGCUGAACCACCAUUUUUGUUGGAUUUAGACUUCCUCACUCUCAGUUGUCAGUUCUCACUUAUCUAGUUCUGGUGUUGUGAGUUACUCGUUUCGUUACUAGUUGUGAGUUUUGUUUAUGGUUUUGAUACCAAGACGAAGCAAAGAAGAAUUAAGGGAUUCCUGUAAAGAUCUUCUGAAGCAGGCGGUGGAGUUGAUGGGUUCAGAAAAGAAGUUGAAGGUCAAGUGGAAGAUAGUGGGCAUUGUAUUUAUUAUAUUAAUAAAUUGUCUUGAAAUGUGAA